rnacentral:rRNA from 1 species
AUUGAACGCUGGCGGCAUGCCUUACACAUGCAAGUCGAACGGUAACAGGUCUUCGGAUGCUGACGAGUGGCGAACGGGUGAGUAAUACAUCGGAACGUGCCCGAUCGUGGGGGAUAACGAAGCGAAAGCUUUGCUAAUACCGCAUAAGAUCUACGGAUGAAAGCAGGGGACCGCAAGGCCUUGCGCGAACGGAGCGGCCGAUGGCAGAUUAGGUAGUUGGUGGGAUAAAAGCUUACCAAGCCGACGAUCUGUAGCGGGUCUGAGAGGACGAACAGCCACACUGGGACUGAGACACGGCCCAGACUCCUACGGGAGGCAGCAGUGGGGAAUUUUGGACAAUGGGCGAAAGCCUGAUCCAGCCAUGCCGCGUGCAGGAUGAAGGCCUUCGGGUUGUAAACUGCUUUUGUACGGAACGAAAAGACUCUUUCUAAUACAGAGAGCUCAUGACGGUACCGUAAGAAUAAGCACCGGCUAACUACGUGCCAGCAGCCGCCGUAACAC